rnacentral:lncRNA from 12 species
GCACAGCACCACAGACACCGACCAGUCAGUGCUUGACCACAACUGUUGCAGCAGCAGCGGUGGCGGUGGCGGUGGUGCUGACAUUGGGACAGCAGUGUCGGGACAGCGGUGGCAGCAAGAGCUGCAGGACUGGCAGGGGGCAAGACACCAUGGCCCCUGCUCUGCGCCUCUUCCUCCUGCUCCUCCUGGCAGUGGCCCUGACUGCCAGGGCUGCCCAGGCAGCUCCGUGGCAAGCAAAGGCAGCAGAUGAGCAUGAUAGGAAGCAUCCUCAAGCACCCUGGCUUCAUGAAGAUUUCCUACCUCUGGAGCCUCCUGCAGGUGUGCCUGUUGGGAAGACUCUGCAAGGUCCUUUGCUGGUUGCUUUAGGCAAGCCCAGCUCCCCUGUAACAGAUGAGCAUGCUGGGAAAGCUUCUCCAACACCCUGGCAUCAUGAAGAUUUGCUACCUCUGGAGCAUCCUGCAGGUCUGUCUGCAGAGAAGACUGUGCAAGGUCCUUUGCUGGUUGCUUCAGGCAAGCCCAGUUCCCAUCACAGGGGUGAGUAGUGUGUCCCUGCUGACCCCACACGCUGAGCACUGCUUUUGUGGGAUGCAUUCAUCUGAAAUGAAAAUACUUGCUGUUAAGGUCCACCAAGAGGGAGGAACAAACCUUCAGAUUCGUUCCUGAAGACAUCCAAAACAC